rnacentral:rRNA from 1 species
CCUACGGGUGGCAGCAGUGAGGAAUAUUGGUCAAUGGGCGCGAGUCUGAACCAGCCAAGUCGCGUGCGGGACGACGGUCCUAUGGAUUGUAAACCUCUUUUGUCGGGGAACAAAGGCGCCCACGGGUGGGCGGAUGAGUGUACCCUAAGAAAAAGCAUCGGCUAACUCCGUGCCAGCAGCCGCGGUAAUACGGAGGAUGCGAGCGUUAUCCGGAUUUAUUGGGUUUAAAGGGUGCGUAGGCGGUCAGUAAAGUGAGCGGUAAAAUUGCGGUGCUAAACUCCGUACAGCCUUUGAAACUGGCAGUCUAGAGUGGACGAGAAGUAGGCGGAAUGCGUGGUGUAGCGGUGAAAUGCUUAGAUAUCACGCAGAACUCCGAUUGCGAAGGCAGCAUACCGGCGCCCGACUGACGCUGAGGCACGAAAGCGUGGGUAUCGAACAGGAUUAGAUACCCCUGUAGUC